CAGCAGCCACGGUAAUACGUAGGGUGCAAGCGUUAAUCGGAAUUACUGGGCGUAAAGCGUGCGCAGGCGGUUUGUUAAGACAGAUGUGAAAUCCCCGGGCUCAACCUGGGAACUGCAUUUGUGACUGGCAGGCUAGAGUAUGGCAGAGGGGGGUGGAAUUCCGCGUGUAGCAGUGAAAUGCGUAGAUAUGCGGAGGAACACCGAUGGCGAAGGCAGCCCCCUGGGCCAAUACUGACGCUCAUGCACGAAAGCGUGGGGAGCAAACAGGAUUAGAUACCCCUGUAGUCCCUGUCUCUUAUAC
rnacentral:rRNA from 1 species